AACGAACGCUGGCGGCAGGCCUAACACAUGCAAGUCGAACGAACCCUUCGGGGUGAGUGGCGCACGGGUGCGUAACACGUGGGAAUAUGCCCUUAGGUAAGGAACAACGGCUGGAAACGGCCGCUAAUACCUUAUAAUGACUCCGGUCCAAAGAUUCAUCGCCUAAGGAUUAGCCCGCGUCUGAUUAGAUAGUUGGUGAGGUAACGGCUCACCAAGUCGACGAUCAGUAGCUGGUCUGAGAGGAUGACCAGCCACACUGGGACUGAGACACGGCCCAGACUCCUACGGGAGGCAGCAGUGAGGAAUAUUGGACAAUGGGGGAAACCCUGAUCCAGCCAUGCCGCGUGAGUGAAGACGGCCUUCGGGUUGUAAAGCUCUUUCAGAUGCGAAGAUAAUGACGGUAACAUCAGAAGAAGCCCCGGCUAAAUUCG
rnacentral:rRNA from 1 species